UGUUUGAUGUUCUAACGUGGACCCGUGAUCCGGGUUGCGGACAGUGUCUGGUGGGUAGUUUGACUGGGGCGGUCUCCUCCUAAAGAGUAACGGAGGAGCACGAAGGUUGGCUAAUCCUGGUCGGACAUCAGGAGGUUAGUGCAAUGGCAUAAGCCAGCUUGACUGCGAGCGUGACGGCGCGAGCAGGUGCGAAAGCAGGUCAUAGUGAUCCGGUGGUUCUGAAUGGAAGGGCCAUCGCUCAACGGAUAAAAGGUACUCCGGGGAUAACAGGCUGAUACCGCCCAAGAGUUCAUAUCGACGGCGGUGUUUGGCACCUCGAUGUCGGCUCAUCACAUCCUGGGGCUGAAGUAGGUCCCAAGGGUAUGGCUGUUCGCCAUUUAAAGUGGUACGCGAGCUGGGUUUAGAACGUCGUGAGACAGUUCGGUCCCUAUCUGCCGUGGGCGCUGGAGAACUGAGGGGGGCUGCUCCUAGUACGAGAGGACCGGAGUGGACGCAUCACUGGUGUUCGGGUUGUCAUGCCAAUGGCACUGCCCGGUAGCUAAAUGCGGAAGAGAUAAGUGCUGAAAGCAUCUAAGC
rnacentral:rRNA from 1 species